UACGGAGGAUCCAAGCGUUAUCCGGAUUCAUUGGGUUUAAAGGGUGCGCAGGCGGAAUGAUAAGUCAGUGGUGAAAUCUCUCGGCUCAACUGAGAAACUGCCAUUGAUACUGUCGUUCUUGAGUACACUUGGAGUGGGCGGAAUGUGUCAUGUAGCGGUGAAAUGCUUAGAUAUGACACAGAACACCGAUCGCGAAGGCAGCUCACUAAAUUGUAACUGACGCUCAGGCACGAAAGCGUGGGGAUCAAACAGG
rnacentral:rRNA from 1 species